rnacentral:rRNA from 1 species
GUGGGGAAUUUUGGACAAUGGGCGCAAGCCUGAUCCAGCAAUGCCGCGUGCAGGAAGAAGGCCUUCGGGUUGUAAACUGCUUUUGUACGGAACGAAACGGUCCUGGCUAAUAUCCGGGGCUAAUGACGGUACCGUAAGAAUAAGCACCGGCUAACUACGUGCCAGCAGCCGCGGUAAUACGUAGGGUGCGAGCGUUAAUCGGAAUUACUGGGCGUAAAGCGUGCGCAGGCGGUGCUGUAAGACAGGCGUGAAAUUCCCGGGCUCAACCUGGGAAUUGCGCUUGUGACUGCAGUGCUGGAGUGCGGCAGAGGGGGAUGGAAUUCCGCGUGUAGCAGUGAAAUGCGUAGAUAUGCGGAGGAACACCGAUGGCGAAGGCAAUCCCCUGGGCCUGCACUGACGCUCAUGCACGAAAGCGUGGGGAGCAAACAGGAUUAGAAACCCUGGUAGUCC